GCCAGGACCUGCCGGGAGCCCCCCGGGCCGCCUGAGACCCCCUGGGUGGGAUCUGACCCCCCCUGGGGUGGGGUUUGAUCCCCCCUGGGUGGGAUCUGACCCCUCCAUGGGGCAGGAUCCAGCCCCGAUCCCAUCAGGAUUUGGGGUCGGGUCUUGUUCCCCUUCUCGCUGCCCUACUGGGACCUGCCGGGAGCCCCCCGGGCUGGGUGAGACCCCCUGGGGUGGGAUUGAUCCCCCCUGGGUGGGAUCUGACCCCCCCUGGGUGGGAUUUGAUCCCCCCUGGGUGGGAUCUGACCCCUCCAUGGGGCAGGAUCCACCCCCGAUCCCAUCAGGAAAUGAUUUGGGAUCGGGUCUUGUUCCCCUUCUCACUGCCCUACCGGGACCUGCCGGGAGCCCCCCGGGCUGCCUGAGACCCCCUGGGGGGGAUUGAUCCCCUCCAGGUGGGGUUUGAUCCCCCCUGGGUGGGAUUUGACCCCUCCAGGUGGGAUCCAGCCCCGAUCCCAUCAGGAGAGGAUUUGGGGUCGGGUGUUGUGUCCCCUCUCCAUGACCUGCCAGGACCUGCCAGGAGCCCCCCGGGCUGGGUGAGACCCCCUGGGGUGGGAUUGACCCCCCCUGGGUGGGGUUUGACCCCUCCAGGUGGGAUCUGACCCCUCCAUGGGGCAGGAUCCACCCCCGAUCCCAUCAGGAUUUGGGGUCGGGUCUUGUGUCCCCUCUCCAGAUCCUGAAGGAACUUUCUGGAACCCCUCCAGGGUGGGAUUUGACCCCUCCCCGGGGGGAUCUGACCCCCCCAGGGUGGGAUUUGACCCCCCCAGGGUGGGAUUUGACCCCCCCAGGGUGGGAUUUGACCCCUCCAGGGUGGGAUCUGACCCCUCCAGGGUGGGAUUUGACCCCUCCCCGGGGGGAUUUGACCCCCCCAAAGCGGAUCUGGCCCCGAUCCCUUCGGGGGUCUCGGGCACGUCGGGCACUGCUGUGGCAAUUAAAGGGAUUUCUUUAA